GAACGCUGGCGGCGUGCUUAACACAUGCAAGUCGAGCGGAAAGGCCCUUCGGGGUACUCGAGCGGCGAACGGGUGAGUAACACGUGAGUAACCUGCCCUUGGCUCUGGGAUAAGCCCGGGAAACUGGGUCUAAUACCGGAUAUGACACACUCUCGCAUGAGAUGUGUGUGGAAAGUUUUUCGGCCAGGGAUGGACUCGCGGUCUAUCAGCUUGUUGGUGGGGUGAUGGCCUACCAAGGCGACGACGGAUAGCCGGCCUGAGAGGGUGACCGGCCACACUGGGACUGAGACACGGCCCAGACUCCUACGGGAGGCAGCAGUGGGGAAUAUUGCGCAAUGGGCGGAAGCCUGACGCAGCGACGCCGCGUGGGGGAUGAAGGCCUUCGGGUUGUAAACCUCUUUCACCACCGACGAAGCUAACGUGACGGUAGGUGGGGAAGAAGCGCCGGCUAACUACGUGCCAGCAGCCGCGGUAAUACGUAGGGCGCAAGCGUUGUCCGGAAUUAUUGGGCGUAAAGAGCUCGUAGGCGG
rnacentral:rRNA from 1 species